GUCUAUGGCCAUGCUACCCUGAGCAAGCCUGAUCCCAUCUGAUCUUGUAGGCUAAGCAGGGUCGGGCCUGGUUAGUACUUGGAUGGGAGACCACUUAAGAAGACCAGGUGCUGUAGGUG
rnacentral:rRNA from 1 species